GAUGAAGAACGUAGCGAAAUGCGAUAAGUAAUGUGAAUUGCAGAAUUCAGUGAAUCAUCGAAUCUUUGAACGCACCUUGCGCCCUUUGGCUAUUCUGAAGGGCAUGCCUGUUUGAGUAUCGUGAACACCUCAACUCUCAUGGUCUGCCAUGAUGAGCUUGGACUUUGGGGGUCUUGCUGGCCUACUGUCAGCUCCUCUCAAAUGAAUCAGCUUACCAGUGUUUGGUGGCACCUCAGGUGUGAUAACUAUCUACGCUUGUGGUUUUCUGCCAGGUAACCUCCAGUGAUGGAGGUUCGCUGGAGCUCACAAAUGUCUCUCCUCAGCGAGGACAGCUUUUUGAACGUUUGAUCUCAAAUCAGGUAGGACUACCCGCUGAACUUAAGCAUAUCAAUAAGCGGAGGA
rnacentral:misc_RNA from 1 species